UACAGAGGUCUCAAGCGUUGUUCGGAUUCAUUGGGCGUAAAGGGUGUGUAGGUGGCGCCGUAAGUCGGGUGUGAAAUUUCGGAGCUUAACUCCGAAACUGCAUUCGAUACUGCGGUGCUUGAGGACUGGAGAGGAGACUGGAAUUCAUGGUGUAGCAGUGAAAUGCGUAGAGAUCAUGAGGAAGACCAGUGGCGAAGGCGGGUCUCUGGGCCGAUACUGACGCUGGAGGAAGCGAAAGCCGUGGGGAGCAAACAGG
rnacentral:rRNA from 1 species